CAGUAGCCGCGGGAAUACAGAGGAUGCAAGCGUUAUCCGGAAUUAUUGGGCGUAAAGGGAGCGCAGGCGGACAUAUAAGUCCAUCUUAAAAGUGCGGGGCUCAACCCCGUGAGGGGAUGGAAACUGUAUGCCUUGAGUGCAGGAGAGGAAAGCGGAAUUCCCAGUGUAGCGGUGAAAUGCGUAGAUAUUGGGAGGAACACCAGUGGCGAAGGCGGCUUUCUGGACUGUAACUGACGCUGAGGCUCGAAAGCCAGGGGAGCGAACGGGAUUAGAUACCCCUGUAGUCCCUGUCUCUUAUACA
rnacentral:rRNA from 1 species